CUCAUGGAUGUCCGCUGUUAAAGUGAUCAUGUUGACUGAGAUGAGGACCUGGACAUUGGAACAGGACAUCCAGGGAGAUCAUGACGGAAAUGGCGACACUGAACCCCUAACUACUUAUGACUCUUCUUUGCCAAUAGAAGUAGCGUCACCACUCCUGGGAGAAGUGGCUUCUCCACUCCCAUCCAGAAGGAUUAAUCCUGGGUCAAGAAAGCUGUGAAUCCCUCCACCCCCAGCAGUUGUUUGCAAAACAGUUUUGACUCUCCUCAGGACCCGCCCAGCAACCUCUUCUUUUGCUUCCCGACCUAUAUACAACCAGGCUCAAGUCCCAGGCCCCUAAAGAUCCUGCUGCUUUCUGCCUCAGUGCUAAUUAAUAUCCUGGACGUUAUCAAGAAGAUAUGAGAGAUGACAUCAAAUUCUGGUGAAGAAGGAAGAGCUAGCACAUGGAGGGAUCAGUGUUUCACAGUAGUUUUGAAAGAGGGUGGUGACAGAAGGGAAAAGAGGUUAUCUGGAGGGGAUUCAGAAUUGGCAGUGAGGGUCAAUUUAGGAGACAUAGAUUGUGACCAUAAAUAUUAAAGAGGAGGAUUCUUUUUGACACUGAGAUUUUUCUGCAGUGCUACAGUGGAGGAAACAUCCAUAGACAUCGUGGACAUUAUUUAGCUCCUGGGAUGAGAAGAGAGCCUGCUGUUGCUGAACAGGCGAUGAGAAUGCAUUGUGCUUUUUUCUUUGGGAAUAUUUGAAUAUCUCCUCGAUGCUGAAACCAGAUCAAAAAUACAGAUUGUGAUAGCAAAGCGGUCUGAGUCAUGAGCUCAUGUGAGGACAGUCAUUGGCCCUUUCCUCUGUCAAAUUAGACUGUUGUGGUUAGGUAUAAAAGGUGGGGUUUGCAACAGUUUUUCCUAAAACUUUAUUUCGUAGUUCUGUAAAAAUGGUUAUAUUGGAUGCUUUCUAAGAAUAAUAUGCUUGUGAACUGAAAGAUACAUGCUGUAAAAAGUCAGGCAGUUCUAUGACAGUAGCAUAUAUAUAAGAUAUGGGGAUUUCCAAGAAGUAAAAUUUAGUUUUUUGGGUUUUUUUAAAUCAGUACUGGGGAUUGAAUUCAGGGCCUUUGCACUGAUCUGUAUCCCCAUACCUUUCUCUUUUUAACUUUUUACUUUGAGACAGGGUCUUAUCAAGUCCCCGAAUUGCCUACGCUGUACUAAAACUUGCAAUCCUCCUGCCUCAGCCUCCCAGAAUACUGGGAUUACAGGUGUGCACCACCAGAUGGCCAAAUUUGACCAUAGAAUGGCAGUAAUCACUGAGCUCCCCUUAAAUAUAAACUACAAAGAUUCCAUUUAUAUUAAUUGGGCCUUAAAGUAAUGACUUCGUACAAAUAAAAACAACUAGUUAACAUCAUAGGCCUGAAUUUGAGGAAAGAAGGAAGAUAGGUUUGAAGAUGACAAAAUUUUUCCAACUUGGGGCCCAGAGGGAAAUUGUUCAAAGCAAAACAGCACUACUGUGUGGGGAACAGGGAAAGGGGACAUUACCUCUGAAGUGAGUCCUAGUCUUCUGCGAGCCACAGGAGCACAAGGUGAAUUAACUUAUUAUUACAGGAAAGGUAGACAAAAUGAGACUGAGAAGAAGCUGAGCUUUGGGCCUGAUCAGUGCUGCUCUGGGCAGCAAAGACAAAAGCCCCUGAGCUUGCAGCACCUUUUAUUCAGUCCAUCGGGAGAAACAGAUGUAACAGAUGACUGGAGAGCGGGUGGAAUUCCUAGAUCAAGGAGGAGCUAUGCAGAUGAAGAUUUUGUUCCUCCCAGGGUGUCUUCUGCUGCUGUAAUCUGGUCCUGGAGCAUCACAGCAUCACCAGAUCAUUGAGGUCUCAGUUGUGACCAAAGGCCAAAAUGGAAUUAUGUCUCAAAAUGCCAUAGCUGGCCUGUGGGCAUGAGAACUAGGCCUAAUCAAAUGAUUUUUCUCCAAUAUUAUGUAGUAUUGCUCCCGACACUACUGAAACAUUUUCACCAAACAAUAUUCACCCUUACUAUAUUACCUGCAUACUUUAGGCCCCUCCCUCCCCAGUUCUGGUGGGGACUGAUUCCAUGAACCAUAAAAUAAGUGCAGUGAUCUGCACUUUGAAGAAACCAUCAGUAGGGGGAUCCACAGUUCUAUACCACCCCAAAGUGAUGGUGACUUGCUAAUUGGCAAAGCAAAAAUACACUCACAAUUCCGUGUGAGUAGGCAAUAUAAUCAAAAAGCUGUACUUGGCCUAGAAUUGGGAGAUACUACAAGACUGUAGGAAAGUCACUUCAUUGUUCCAGCGUGAUUCCAGUUUCCUCCUUGUUGAAGUACUGUAAUGAAACCUUUUCCGAAUGUUUAUCUUUGUAAAAAUACACUCAAGUUAUAGGUUUCUUAUUCCAGCCUGAAUAAUCUUAUACAUAUUAUGAAAUAAUAUCAGGAUUUUAACUUAAAAUCAAUCUGGUAUUCAAAAUAUACCCUGAACCCUGUCAGUAAUUAUUAACAAUGAAACUGACAGGUUUAAAAGUUAGGAAACCUCUCGGUUCCUCUAGGAAGCCACAGUAAAAACCCAUCACACUUCCCACCUUUAACUUUUGCUCUCUCAGAUUCCAUAUUUGAACAAUUCUUAGCUCUUGUCCAGCAAUGCUAAGGGAAAGAAAGAUUAAAUUAUCUGCGAAUUAUAUCACAUCGAUGUCUACAUUUUAAGCAUUUUUCCUACCUUGUUGUGGUGAUCUAUACCCCAUUAAACAGAAUUCCCCUGUCCAAGAGACAAAUUGGUAUCACAAAUCACCCAGAAUUAAAGAAAUCACAAAUCACCCAGAAUUUACAGGAAAACCUAUGAUUUCAACGUCAUGCGUUUUUCUCAGUGAAUCCAUUUUAGUGGCUGGUGGUGAGAAAGUUAAAUAGUAAUAGUUUAGUAGUAAUUACUUGCCCUAUCUGUCUAAAAAGGAGGAGGACAACCUGAAGAUUGAAUGUAUAACUCACAAUUUAAGUGUGGAAAAUUGCACAAUCUUUCAGUUUGUAUACCAUUGAUAAAUUCAAAUUUGAAGCCCACCGAUAUAGUUGACUCCUCUAGAAAAGAUGGAACUCUCCAUAGCUAUCUUCCAGUGUUUGGUGGCUGUGACUGGCUAUGACUAGCCAUGGGUAAAGGUCAGGGAGUUUAGAGCUAUUCUCAAAUAGUACAAUCAUAGGGAAUUAAUUCUUGCUUCAAUGUUAGUCCAAAGACUUUUCGUUGUGUUACCAUCUCUCUGUUGGUAACUUUAAGGCCUACUGUGCCAGUUUGGCCAUAAGAUCCCCAUUUACACAUACCAGGUUAUAUCUUUGCUCACAAUUUAAACACUAGUGAAGAUCUCUUGUCCUAGCUACUCUUCUCACUGCUGAGACAAAAUAUCCGACACCUAAAGUUAAAGGAGGAAAGUUUUAUUAGCUCACAGUUCAUAGUUGGCUUGCUCCAAGGCAGGGUGACAUGGUACAGGGCCAUCACAGAGGAGAAACACUUCAUGGCAGGCAGAAGGCAGCAAGGCAGCAAAAGCAAACAAGGCUCUUUCUGUCCCAUAUUAUCUUAUCCACUUGCAAGGCAGGCACCAGAACCACUGAGCUAAAUCCCCAGCCCAAUUUUUCCUACUCUUAACCUCUGUUGUUCCUAGAAUUCAUUCUUCGAUUUUAGAGAACACAAACUCACAUUUUGGAUAUCUAGCAGGUUGAGAGUUAUAAUAUUUUACAUGUUUAGAUUAUUUUUGCCUGUUUGGAUUGCUUGCUACCUUGUAUCAAUUUUGGAUUACUUGGUGCCCUAUAUCAGACCUCUGACCACACAAGGCUUUGGGGGGACAUUAGACACAAGCCAUAGCAUCUCUGUUCACUGGUUUGAAGGCAGGAAAAUGCUACACAAAAAAGCGGGAAUGACAAGCCUUGAAAUGGUGGCACAAGGAUUAUAGAGUGUCAUUGUGUUUUAAAGGAGUUGUGUUGAAAGACCUUUAACAUUUCCAGUAACUAGUUUGAGCAUGCAGAAUUUGAAACAUAAAAAGGCUGAACUUCACAGGCCUCAAAGAGGAAAACACACACUUUUUACAGUUGGUUCUGAGUCUGCCUCUGGACACACGAUUGUCUUGCUCACGGCACCACUUGCUUUUCUGAGUACCGCUCUCGUCAGUGUUGAUCUUGGCAGCUUGGGACACCAAGGUCUCCUCUAGCAGGUGACUAACCUCCCUGUGUUCCUCAAACACCGGGGCUGUCACAAGUGCUUUGCGUACAUAGUCUCAGCCUCAAGACAACCCAUGAGGGAGAAAUGAGCUCAGAAGAAACUGGGCUCCAAGAUGCUUUGAUUAACCAUGUAACCUUCAUGAAUAACAGUCCCAUGGCAGUCCAGAGCAGCCGAUCAGUUCUGGUCCCUCCUGGCUGCUCUCUGCCCUUCCUCCCUGCACAGCUCUUCCGGAAGUUCCUGUCAGGAUGGUUCAGGAAGUUCACUGACUAGAAGUUCCUGUCAGUGACCACGAAGGCAGAAUUUGUACCACUGUUAGAGUUGGGAGUCCUUUAUAUUGUGGUACCACUGCACUUUGUUAGUUCUUUUUCUACUCUCUGUAAUGUACCCAUUUCCUAGCCCUCUACUUCAACAGUUUCUAAAUAGCUUCAUUAGGUAAGGGGGCACUGCCCUCCUUUGGGUACCUACUGAAUUUGCCCAAGAAAGUUGGAGGACUGAGGGAAGGGGACCUGAAUUGGCACCCACCAUAGGGCCGGAGAUUUAGCUCAGUGGUUUUGCUGCCUGCUGCGCAAGCGCAAGGACCCAAGUUCAAUCCCCGGUACCAAAAAAAAAAAAAAAAAAAAAAAAAGAAUUGGUACCCACCGCCAUCAGGCAUGAUGAGAGGGAGAGAACAGUAAGAGGGGCAAAGACAAGAAUACAUAAAGUUUAUCUAAAUAAACUUCUUUGCUAACAUACAGGACAGUCAAAAGUAUUCCAUGUGUGCACACAUACUCUCCACCUCCCUCUCCCUGGAAAAGCUGCCCUUCACUUAUCAGAAAGCAAAGUAUCAAUUGCUUUUAAACCCAUGACUGCUUUCUUUGAGUACUGCAUGACAUUUUUCCAGUCCUUCCAUUCUUAUUGUUGGUCCCAUACAGGUGCAUGGCUCAGCACUCAGAAUUAUCUGGUCCUAGGGCAAAGGAUUGAGUUUACUGUCUCAAAGAAUAAAAUACUUGCUCACCAAACCAUAGAGAGUGCUAACUUAUGAUCUGUAAUUUGUUACAAAAUGACUGGCAUUAGUCCAUAAAUAAGCUAAUUCAUUGCUAGUAGAGAACAAAUCACACACGUUCCUUUGCUCUACCCAUUCCCAACUGUCUAUCCUAAGUAGAUGCAGGCCAUGUAUUGGAUAUUAAACAUACGUGCAAAUGUCCACACAAAUUUAUCUUCUUUUCAGAGAAUACCCAGCUAGGUCCCCAUGUCACUUGUACUUACAAAAACAAUAGGACCAUACCCCACCCCACUGCAAUAACCUAAAGACUAAAAGCCACAAACAUAAUUGAAAACUCAGUCUCACAUGUAGAUAAUCCACCACACAAAAUAACGUUCUCAAGGUAAGUAGGGAGAUUGGAGAGGGAAGCUGGGCUUUUGGUGGAAGAGGACAGAAACAGGAUGUAGGUGGGACACAGGUAUUUCCUGUGCAAGAUAGUGGCACUGGUGUAAGGUUUGGUUCUGGCAGACGCCUUUAAAAUAGUUCUCAUCGUCAGAUAUACACGCAUGAGAUCCCCUCCCUCACAAACUUCUUGCUUUGUUAUCAUUUUGGUUAGGGCUUGACCGAAGUGACUUCAUUUUGAUUCUGAAAACUUUUACAUAUUCAGUUAUUUAAAGCCAAACGACAGCGCUGGACUGCAAGCACUAAACUCCCAAAAGGCAUUUUCUAAACCAUUUACUGUUUGCACGGUAUGGACUGUGAAAAUGUCCCCCCGGAGAAGAAACAGUGCGUUGGGUUCAUGGCAUGGAUUUCCUCCCCUUUCGCAUUGAUGUCGUCCUUCCGUCCACUCCGUUUAUCCUGGCCCAUGGACCGGAAGUGCCCUAGGGGCCACGGUUGUGUCCUCCCUGCACCCUGGGUCCUUGGCUGGGACCAGAGUCAUCCGGCUCACUUUCUAGAACGCACCUGACACAGGUAACCAGGGUGUGGGGGGGGAUGCUCAUCGCCAGCCUGUGUUUGGUUUUCUGCGUUUUCCUCUUUUGCUACUCCAGCUGUUCCUGACAGACAUACUCUACUCCUUUUCUGGAUUUUUGUGAAAAUUUCCUCUCUGUUUAUGAUGAUGAAAACAAUGGCAACCAAAUCGCCUCCACAACUUAGUCAUAGCGCACCUGAAGCUCCCAGAGUUGUUGAGACCCUCCACUUGGUGUUGCUGUGAUAACUAUUAAUAAUCACAGCAUUGCUAGUUUUUAAUUCCCACGAGCUCCGAUAAAUCAUGCAUUGUAUGUAUUUUUGCUAAUCCUCACACCACCCUUACAACAUAGUGGUAUUAUCCGGGUUUGAGAGAUAAGGAAACAGAUGCUCGGAGAGGCUAAGUGACUUCCAAGGUCACACAGCUGCCCGGUCGGUGGCAGCUGGGCCGAGGCCUCCUUCGCCCAUCACUCAGGCGCCUGGGGCUGCCAGACCCGGGUCAGGGCCCAAGGCGGGGCCGCAGAGGUGUGGCCCCGGGUGGUGACUGAAUACCAGGUGCCCGGGCG
ensembl:lncRNA